rnacentral:rRNA from 1 species
GACGAACGCUGGCGGCGUGCCUAAUACAUGCAAGUCGAACGCAGUGGGGACGGGUGAGUAACACGUGGGUAACCUCCCAUCAGAGGGGAUAACACUUGGAAACAGGUGCUAAACCGAUACUGAUGGAUGGACCCGCGGUGCAUUAGGUAGUUGGUGAGGUAACGGCUCACCAAGGCCACGCUGCAUAGCCGGCCUUAGAGGGUGACCGGCCACACUGGGACGGAGCCACGGCCCAGACUCCUACGGGAGGCAGCAGUAGGGAAUCUGCGGCAAUGGACGAAAGUUUGACCGAGCAACGCCGCGUGAGUGAAGAAGGUUUUCGGGUUGUAAAGCUCUGUUGUUAGAGAAGCGGUAUCUAACCAGAAAGCCACGGCUAACUACGUGCCAGCCGCCGCGGUAAUAC